UGCAAUCCUCCUGCUUUAACCUGCAGAGACCUGGGAUUACAGGUCCUAUUAACCCUGUGAAACAUGUUGAUACUAGCCUUAGCGUGGUCUGCGGUCUUCCCUUCAUCACUGGGGCUACUUGGGUGGUAUUCACGGGAAUCCAGCAAGGAGCUGUCAGUGCUAUCUGCAUGAAUAUUUCCUUGUAAUCCAAGAUCCCUCAACUAUCUCCAUGUCACCAGCUGAAGACAUUCCUGCUAUAAGCUGAGAGGAUGAGAGGAGGCUGUUUCCAUAGCUCUGUGACAGGAUCAGGGCUUCUCAAUCUAAAAAUAAAUCUACAUGUGCAUGCACACGCGCACACUUGUGCACACACAAAAUUAUUUUGCCUUUUUGAGGUUCCAGAGCAAGGAAUCCUUAAAUUCUAAGCCUCAUAUUCUUCCCUUCUAUCCUUUCUCUGGUAAAAUUUAGUUUUUCUCUCCUUUUUAAAUCUCCUCAAGUAAAUAAAAUUAUGAUAUUGUGAUGGCAGCAA